AGAUCAUAAGACGCGUCGCGAUGGGGGUAAUAAAAAUGAUUAUGCGUUGAAAAAAUUCACGGCACGAUGCUCUUGCGGGAUCGAGUUUUGAAAUUAGCACUUUUGGACGGGCAAAAAAUCUUGAAAUACAUGUUUAUAUACAUAAUCAUUUAUAAUUGUAAUUAUUUUAUGUCCCGAUUACUUUUUUCCACGGAAAAUAAUCUAGAAUUUUCGUGAUAUAGCCUUUACUAGGUUAUGUUUACAUUGCAAAGAUUAGAUAAUACAUAUUUUGCUGAGUAAAAUAUAAAUAUUACAAAAUAUAUAAUAUUACAAAAAUGAAUGGAAUUAUUCCUGAAAUGGAACAAAUUAUUAGUCAACUCGAAAGAGGUACUGUAGUUACUAAGUUUUUUCCGAGAAAACGGGCGGAAAAGAAAACUCUUAUGAUACGAAGAGAAACUAGACAAAUUGUUUGGUCAAGGAGUGCAACAUUUAGACCUUUUGAUGGUUCAGUGGAAAUAAGAGAAGUUAAAGAAGUUAGAAUAGGUAAACAAUCUAAAGACUUUGAAAAAUGGCCUGAAGAUGCUAAGAGAAUUGAGAAUUUAAGGUGCUUUGUUGUGUAUUAUGGCUCAGAAUUCAGACUGAAAACUCUUUCUAUAUCUGCUCUUAGUGAAAAAGAAUGUGAAUUAUGGAUUAAGGGAUUGCGUUACUUGGUACAAGACACUAUAACUGCACCAUAUCCUUUACAAGUUGAAAGAUGGCUUAGAAAAGAGUUUUAUGCAAUGGAAAAUUCCCGUGAAACGAUCACAUUAAAGGACGUGAAAGCAUUUUUGCCUAGAGUUAAUUGCAAAAUUGCGACAAAUAGACUCAGGGAAUUAUUUCAAGAAGUGGACACGAGAAAUCGUAACGAACUUGGAUUUGAUGAUUUUAUUAUUUUAUAUCAUAAAUUAAUGUUUGAUCAGAAUAAUCUUGCAGAUUGGAACAAACUGUUGAAUUAUUCUCAAAUUGAACCAACUGUCACACUUCAAGAAUUUCAGAACUUUUUAAUAACCGAGCAGCAAGAUAGUUUGGGGAAUAAUGAAUUAGAGAUAUCUCGUUUUAUUAGAGAAUAUUUACAAGAUCCUCAAAGAGACAUACAAGAACCAUAUUUUACUUUCUCAGAAUUUGUAGAUUUUUUAUUUUCUAAGCAAAAUGAUAUCUGGAAUCAAAAGUUUAAUCAAGUGUCUCAAGAUAUGACUCGACCUCUUGCACAUUAUUGGAUUGCAUCAUCACAUAACACUUACUUGAUGGGAGAUCAGAUUAGCAGUGAAAGCAGUUGUCAGGCCUAUGUACGUGCACUAAGAGCAGGAUGCAGAUGUAUAGAGCUUGAUUGUUGGGAUGGUCCAGAUGGAAUGCCAUUUAUAUUCCAUGGACAUACACUCACUACCAAAAUUAAAUUUUUGGACGUUAUUAAAACUAUUAAGGAGCACGCUUUUGUUACAUCUGAGUAUCCUGUUAUUUUAUCUAUCGAGGAUAAUUGUACUUUACCGCAGCAACGUAAAAUGGCAAUGACUAUGCAAGAAGUCUUUGGUGAUAUGCUGUUGGUUCAACCUGUUGACAAAAAUGAGACUUGUUUACCUUCCCCAUACGCAUUGCGCAGAAAAAUUUUAUUAAAACACAAAAAGCUUCCUGAUGGUGUCGACGAAUCUUCGUUUCUUGUUCGAAAUGAUGAAAGCAGACAGGAGAUGGAUCUUAGAAAUACUGUAAAAAAUGGAAUUCUUUAUUUGGAAGAUCCUAUUGAUAGAGAAUGGAAUCCUCAUUUUUUUGUACUGACACAACAGAAACUAUUUUAUACAGACACAUUUUCAAGAGUACAAGAAACGGAACACGAUGACGAUGAAGAAAGCAGUAUUCGGAGGACAUCAGAUGGUGCGCCUAAUGACGAAUUACACUUUGGCGAGAAAUGGUUUCAUGGAAAAUUAGCAAGAGGAAGAGAGGAAGCUGAAGAAUUAUUACGGCACUAUUCCUACCUUGGUGAUGGUACUUUUCUCGUGCGACAAUGUGUUACAUUUGUAGGUGAUUAUUGUUUAUCGUUUUGGCGUAAAGGAAAAGUAAACCAUUGUCGCAUCAAGCUGAAACAAGAAAUGGGUCAAACACAAUAUUAUCUUAUCGAUACCAAUUGUUUUGAUAGCUUAUACAGUUUAAUCACCCAUUAUCGUAAUCAUCCACUUAGAAGCCAAGAAUUUUUAAUUACGCUGCAAGAACCAGUGCCUCAACCAAAUAAACAUGAGGAGAAAGAAUGGUGGCAUCCUGAAUGUACUCGAAUUGCAGCAGAAGAGAUGUUAAAGCGUAUACCUACAGAUGGCGCAUUCUUAGUGAGACCUAGUGAAAGAGAAAGUAAUUGCUACGCAAUUUCAUUUAGAGCGGAAAAGAAAAUAAAACAUUGUAAAAUAAAACUUGAAGGCAGACUCUAUACCACUGGAACUGUACAGUUUGAAAGCUUAGUUGAAUUAAUUAGUUAUUAUGAACGACAUCCGUUGUAUAAAAAAAUUAAAUUGAGUCAUCCUGUUAAUCAAGAUAUUAUUAGAAGAAUGGGAUUGGAUAAUGACGAUGGGUCAGUUUAUGGCAUCCCAGGUUAUAUGGAUCCUACAAGCUUUACAUCAAAAGUAACAGUUAAAGCUAUUUAUGAUUAUAAAGCUAAAAGAGAGGAUGAAUUGACAUUGGUAAAACAUGCUAUAAUUACUAAUGUUAAUGUGCAACGUGGAGGAUGGUGGAGGGGUGAUUAUGGUGGUAAAAAACAACACUGGUUUCCUGCUAAUUAUGUAGAAGAAAUCGAUGAACAAGAAAAUCAGGGAGAUUCAGCAGAUUCUAUGAUGCUUGGUAGCUUGCAGAAAGGUUCAUUAGAUAUCAUGGGUGCUGUAGUAGAACUAACAGUAGGAGAAAGACUAGGUUUGGAAUGGAUUUUAAGGAUACAAAACCCUAGUAUGUGUUCAGUAUUUGAAGUUGCCACACCAUCAAAAGAUACCGCAUUAGAAUGGAUGUCAAGUAUUAAAGAGACUGCACAAAAUGCAAGUGUUAGGGAAAGUCAACACAAGGAAAUGGAGAGAGCAUGGAGAAUAGCCAAGGAAAUGUCUAAUCUUAUAGUAUAUUGUAGAUCUGUUGCAUUUAACAUAGAACGAAUAAGAACUAAAGGAUUUACAUUCAAUGAAAUGAGUAGCUUCCCAGAAACAAAGGCUGAAAAAUUAAUGUGUCAACAAGAGAAUAAAUUUUUUAUAAAGUAUCAUCAGAUUCAAUUUAGCAGGGUUUAUCCUAAAGGUCAACGUAUUGAUUCAUCUAAUUAUAAUCCUGUACCAAUGUGGAAUGCUGGUUGUCAGAUGGUAGCUUUGAAUUAUCAGACUGGAGACAAAUCAAUGCAAUUAAAUCAGGCUAAAUUUAAAGAAAAUGGCAAUUGUGGUUAUUUAUUGAAACCGGAAUUCAUGUUUAAACAAGACUUUAAUCCAUAUGAUAAAAAUACGUUAUAUGGAGUCGAAUCGCUUAAAAUUUGCUUGAAAAUUAUUGGAGCUAGACAUUUAAUGAAAUCAGGAAGAAGCACUGCCAGUCCAUCUGUCGAAGUUGAAAUUAUUGGUGCGGAUUUUGAUUCUGGAACGAAAUUAACAACAAAGACAAUAUCGGAUAAUGGAUUUAACCCAAUGUGGAAUGAAAUAUGUGAAUUCGAAAUAUUUAAUCCAUAUUUUGCUCUUAUACGAUUUUUAGUGCAAGACGAAGAUAUGUUUGGUGAUAGUAAUUUCAUAGGACAAGCUACUUAUCCAGUGCGUUGUUUAAGAACAGGAUAUAGAAGUGUUCCAUUAAAAAACAUAUAUAGCGAAGAUCUUGAGCUUGCUUCCUUAUUAGUACAUAUUAAAAUUAUAAUAUCAUCGAUAAGAAAUUCCAUCUAAAGAGUUAUAUUUGCUAUAUCGAUAACAAUCUAUAUAUAUUUAAAUUAAAAUUUUAUCUCUUAUUGAGUUUUUUUGUUCAAUAUAAGUGUACGUAAUGCAUAAAACAGAUCGGUGAAAAGUCAAAUCUGCAUUAUAAAACACAGUGUACAGAUUGAUGAAGAUACCAAGUUAGCAUAUCUGUAACACAAAAAACUAUCAUGAUAUAUAUGUCACAAUAUAAUAUACAAUGGCAUAAAGGUAAUAUAUGUUAGAAGCAUAUCAUUAGAAGACUGUAUAUAAUUAUAUAUUGAAUUUUGACAAGUUAGGUAUAUAGAUUAUUAUAAAAAUUUAUUAGAAAUAUUUCUAUAAUUGGGUGAAAUGAAGCAUGAAAUGAAGCAAAGAAGUGAAUAUUCUAAUGCAUUCUCUCAUAAAAAGAGAGAGAAAGACAAAAUAAAUGAUAAAAUGAAUUAAAAAAUUGAUUAACUAAAAAAAAAUGGCUCUAAUAAAAAGUAGGGAGACAAUAUAUGCAAACGUGAUCUAGAAUAGAUAGGUUUUAUUGCUAUGAUACAUAUAGAUAUUACUCUAAUUGAACCUAUAAUGUAUUUAAUUUUUUUCUAUACAUGGAGAGGUUUUUAAUAAUACAUGCAUACAUAAAUACAUAUACACACACAAUUGAAAACAUGGAUUUAUUAUAUAUGUAUUUGAGAGAAAUAAUUUUUAUGACAUAUCAUGUAUAAUGACUGAACAAUUUUUCUUCAUAAUAAUUAAUUUAUCAAAUUACCAUAUUUUAUAUUAAUAAUAUUAAUAUAAUUUAAUUGAAAGGAAUAGUUAUGUGUGAUGAAAAGAAUGUUUAAUUAAAACAAAGGAAAUGUAAUAAUACACCAUGAACACAAUUUUGAUAGUAUCAUAUUAUAGAUGUGCAAUGUGAUUGCAUUUAAUGGGAAAUGAAGUAUUACAUACUAUAUUUAUUCGGUUCUCUAUAGAUUCUGAUAUUGUAGUGUGCAAUAGUAGCAAAGAAUCACACAUAUCACAUAUGCUUGUCUAUCUAUGGCUAUCAGUAAAAUUAUAGUAUAAAUUUACUCUGAUGCGAAAUAAAUGGAUAUUAACAAGAAGCCUGGUGAAAUUUACCUUUAAUACUAAUGGAUAUUAUAUUUUACAUGUCCGAAUAUGCUAGGUAGAAAUGUACAAAACUUUUUAAAUUAAAAUGCAUAGACAUUGAUGACAAAAAAGUAAUAUAAUACAUUCAAGGUGAUAUAAUUUACUUUUUUUACAGCUGAUAAAUAAUGCUCAAUUAAUUCAACUGUCAAUCUUUUUCAAUUAUGUGUGAUAAGUGGAUAUUUUUAAUAUCAUUCUGUCAUGAGCGUCUUUGGCAGAAAACGUCUUCCUUAAUAAUUGUACACAUAUGUGUAAAAUACGUAUAUAUAUUACAUAUAUAUAUUAUCAUUUAUAUUUACAUCGAUGUCUACCUGGUAAAGCCGACUGUAGCAUGCUAAAGGCGCCAAUGUUGCAAUUUUGUUACAUAUUUCGAAAUUAUAUUGCAUAUGUUAUAUUAUCACAUUUUAAUCAUUGAAUAUAUUUCAAGUACAUAUAGUAUUUGUACAAUGAAUUUGAACAAUGUAUGCGUUCAAUGUGCCUGUACUUUAUACUAUAAGCGAUAUGAUCAGACAUAUCUUUUGAAAACAAAUGCAUAAGAAAUUCUAUAUAAUAAAUUUUGUUUUGUUAUAAAUGCGAUUA